CUACGGGCCGCUCCAGUGAGGAAUAUUGCACAAUGGGGGGAACCCUGAUGCAGCAACGCCGCGUGGAGGAUGACGCAUUUCGGUGUGUAACUCCUUUUAUAUGUCAAGAAAAUGACGGUAGCAUAUGAAUAAGCACCGGCUAACUCCGUGCCAGUAGCCGCGGUAAUACGGAGGGUGCAAGCGUUACUCGGAAUCACUGGGCGUAAAGGACGCGUAGGCGGGUUGGAAAGUCAGGUGUGAAAUCCUACAGCCUAACUGUAGAACUGCACUUGAAACUUCUAAUCUAGAGUAUGGGAGGGGGAGAUGGAAUUAGUGGUGUAGGGGUAAAAUCCGUAGAUAUCACUAGGAAUACCUAAAGCGAAGGCGAUCUCCUGGAACAUUACUGACGCUAAGGCGUGAAAGCGUGGGGAGCAAACAGGAUUAGAUACCCGUGUAGUC
rnacentral:rRNA from 1 species